GAUGAAGAACGUAGCGAAAUGCGAUAAGUAAUGUGAAUUGCAGAAUUCCGUGAAUCAUCGAAUCUUUGAACGCACAUUGCGCCCCCUGGCAUUCCGGGGGGCAUGCCUGUCCGAGCGUCAUUUCUGCCCUCCAGCCCGGCUGGGUGUUGGGCGCUGUCCCCCCGGGGACACGCCCCAAAGGCAGUGGCGGCGCCGCGUCGGGUCCUCGAGCGUAUGGGGCUUUGUCACCCGCUCGGGACGGACUCGUCGGCGCUGGUCUUCCUCCAGGCGACCUUUCGGGGCUCGUCUUCCUUCGGUUGACCUCGGAUCAGGUAGGGUUACCCGCUGAACUUAAGCAUAUCAAUAAGCGGAGGA
rnacentral:misc_RNA from 1 species